rfam:TPA: Bos taurus chromosome 23, whole genome shotgun sequence.
CCAAAGGCUCUUUUCAGAGCCACUCAAUCUUCUAAAGAGAACUGG